AUUGAACGCUGGCGGCGGGCCUAACACAUGCAAGUCGAACGAGUGGCGGACGGGUGAGUAAUGUCUGGGAAACUGCCCGAUGGAGGGGGAUAACUACUGGAAACGGUAGCUAAUACCGCAUACCAUCGGAUGUGCCCAGAUGGGAUUAGCUAGUAGGGGGGGUAACGGCUCACCUAGGCGACGAUCCCUAGCUGGUCUGAGAGGAUGACCUGCCACACUGGAGCUGGGACAAGGUCCAGACUCCUACGGUGGGCAGCAGUGGGGAAUAUUGCACAAUGGGGGCAAGCCUGAUGCAGCCAUUCCGCGUGUAUGAAGAAGGCCGUCGGGUUGUAAAGUACUUUCAGCGAGGAGGCGUUACUCGCAGAAGAAGCACCGGCUAAAUCCGUGCCAGCAGCCGCGGUAAUUC
rnacentral:rRNA from 1 species